ensembl:snoRNA
GAUCAAUGAUCAAAAAUAGCCAAAUAUAUGCAUCAAGAGACCUGAUCUUUCUAGUACAUGAUCUAUAUAUGUUUCUGAGA